ACGCUGGGCCGGUGCAACGACAAGUUCGUGAACCCCGCCAGGCCCGGAAGGGAGCAACGGUAGCGCAACAUGUUGUGUGCUACCGGCUCAGCGUUCG
rnacentral:SRP_RNA from 1 species